rnacentral:lncRNA from 1 species
GGACAUGGUGGGUAAGGAUGCUAGGGAUGAAAGUGAGCAUAAAGACAAGGGGGAACAUUAUUAGUGAGCGAUAAAGGAAAAGUGAUGCUCACACCACCCACCAACAACAACCACGGAGGGAAGAGCUACAAAUAUAGUAGGGAUGAGGUAGCAUCUAAGAGCGGGGCUAAUGAGCUAUGAUUCCGAUGGGGUAAGGAUCAAUGGAGAAAGAGGUGUGGAUGUUGUUAGAUUCGGGUGAUUGAAUUAGACCUGAGCAAAGUGUGCGUCAGGCCGGGUUGGCAAAAAACCCAGAAUGAUUCGGGCUAAAAAAUGUGACCGAUCCCGCCCAUGAACAGUUUUUGGAUGGCUUUUUCGGACUUUUUUUGGCUAGGUUGUCCGUUCAUUUUUAGUUGGGAAAUAAAAAAAUUAAUCGAGCGGGGUUUGGCCCGCUUGGAUUUUUUUACGGGCUGGCAAAAUUUGCGCCACGACCCGACCCUAUAAAGGUCAUAGGCCGGGUUUAGCCAGGCGGGCUCGAGCUGGGCCAAAUUUGCUAAGGUCUAG